GAUGAACGCUAGCGGCAGGCCUAACACAUGCAAGUCGAGGGAGAGGUUAUCUUCGGGUAACCAAAACCGGCGCACGGGUGCGUAACGCGUAUACAAUCUGCCUUUCACAUAGGGAUAGCCCGAAGAAAUUUGGAUUAAUACCUAAUGGUAUAUAAGAGCGGCAUCGUUUUUAUAUUAAAGCUACGGUGGUGAAAGAUGAGUAUGCGUUCUAUUAGCUAGUUGGAGAGGUAACGGCUCCCCAAGGCGACGAUAGAUAGGGGUUCUGAGAGGGAUGUCCCCCACACUGGUACUGAGAUACCGACCAGACUCCUACGGGAGGCAGCAGUGAGGAAUAUUGGACCAUGGUCGGAAAAAC
rnacentral:rRNA from 1 species